rnacentral:rRNA from 1 species
AUGCCUGAUGGUGAUUCUGUUCCUAAUAACUUCCUAUACGCAGUUCUUGGUCCAGGAGAUAGGAACUCUCAGGAGAAAGACAUGGCGGAGGAACCCGGUGCAACUUCUAGAUACUAUUGCCACAUGUGCUCCGUGAUCGUAAGGCCAGAGCUGGGCGUCGAGGAGGUGAAGUGCCCGCACUGCUGUUCCGGAUUCGUGGAGGAGAUGGCCGAUGGUCGGCGGAGCAGCAACGCCGUGGGAGACCAUGGUACUACUGCCACAGGGGCCGGCCCAGAUGACGCGGGCGCAAGGUCGGAGCUUGCGGUUCCGCCGUGGCCGCCUAUCCUCAUGGACCUCCUCGGCGUCUCCUACGGCCUCGACGGCGGCGACCUCGCGGCCUUGGCGCGAAGACAGUACCGCCACCUCGCCUUCUUGCAGCUGCUCAACGCGCUCCAGGAAGGCGAUGCCAAUGCCGACGGCGACGCGCCCGAUCCGGGGCUCGAGCGACUCGUGCUGGUUAGCCCCGCCGACGCGCACGCCAUGCUCAUGUCAGAGGGAAGAGCCAGCAAUGGCGCCGGGGCCGGCAGGGGAGCAGGCCUGACGCUUGGCGAGUUGAUUCUUGGCCCCGGGUUGGAUUUGCUGCUGGAGUACCUGGCCGAGACCGACCCGAGCCGGCAAGGCACGCUGCCGGCGAAGAUGGAGGCCGUUGCCGCAUUGCCAACGGUAAAGGUAAGCGAGGCCGCGACCUGCCCGGUGUGCCUGGACGAGUUCGCGGCUGGCGGCGAGGCCAAGGAGAUGCCGUGCAAGCACCGGUUCCACGACGUGUGCAUCCUGCCGUGGCUGGAGGCGCACAGCUCCUGCCCCGUCUGCAGGUACCAGCUGCCCACGGACGAGGCCACGGAGCCGGCCGGCAAUGGCACCGAGGAAACCGCCGACGUGUCGAGUGGCAAUGCACGCCGCGACGUCGAGGGCGAUAGCGACGGUGGAAGCAGUGGCAGGCGGCGGUGGCUCGCACGACCUUUUGGUCGUUUGUUCUCGCGCAGAUCGAAUGGAAGCUCCUCGUCGUCGCGAUGA